UGCAUCUGGAGAUAUUCAACAGUGACUACGGAGAGUGGGUUUUGCUUCUGGAUGGGGAUGAGGAGAACAUCACAGAAUCUCAUCCGCGAGUGAGAACCGCGCCUGAUGUCAACGUUCUAGCGCACGAGACUGUGUUGGAUGAAGAGCAAACGCAGUUUGACGGGAUCGUCUUUGAAACGGAAACCCAGCCAAGGGACCUGCAAGUACCCAGUAUGAGCAUCCCGACCGGAUCAGGCGCUGUAGCUGUCCAUUCUAGUUCCUUCUCUAGUGCGGAUGCAGAGAAGCCGACUGUCAGUGGGAGUGACGUACGCAACGGAAGGUCUGACGGUCCGACACAAUGCCCAGUGUCCUGUGGUGGUGACGAUGGACGAUCUGGACCGCCGGCGGAGGUGGGCGCAGGCAACCCAGGCAAGAAGAAACCUGGAUAAGUCGCUACGCAGCCGUGGCUGUGAUUCCGCAGCCCUGGCUGUGAUUCCGCAGCCGUGACUGUGAUUCCGCAGCCGUGGCUGUGAUUCCGCCGCCGUGAUGAAGCUCAGAUGAAGCUGUGAUGGCUGUGAUGACGUUUUAAAUAUACCUUCACUCAGA